rnacentral:rRNA from 1 species
GAUGAACGCUGGCGGCGUGCCUAAUACAUGCAAGUCGAGCGAACAGACGAGGAGCUUGCUCCUCUGACGUUAGCGGCGGACGGGUGAGUAACACGUGGAUAACCUACCUAUAAGACUGGGAUAACUUCAGGAAACCGGAGCUAAUACCGGAUAAUAUAUUGAACCGCAUGGUUCAAUAGUGAAAGACGGUUUUGCUGUCACUUAUAGAUGGAUCCGCGCCGCAUUAGCUAGUUGGUAAGGUAACGGCUUACCAAGGCAACGAUGCGUAGCCGACCUGAGAGGGUGAUCGGCCACACUGGAACUGAGACACGGUCCAGACUCCUACGGGAGGCAGCAGUAGGGAAUCUUCCGCAAUGGGCGAAAGCCUGACGGAGCCACGCCGCGUGAGUGAUGAAGGUCUUCGGAUCGUAAAACUCUGUUAUUAGGGAAGAACAAAUGUGUAAGUAACUAUGCACGUCUUGACGGUACCUAAUCAGAAAGCAACGGCUAACUACGUG